rnacentral:rRNA from 1 species
AGCGAACACUGGCGGCAGGCCUAACACAUGCAAGUCGAACGAAGUCUUCGGACUUAGUGGCGGACGGGUGAGUAACACGUGGGAACGUGCCUUUAGGUUCGGAAUAACUCAGGGAAACUUGUGCUAAUACCGAAUGUGCCCUUCGGGGGAAAGAUUUAUCGCCUUUAGAGCGGCCCGCGUCUGAUUAGCUAGUUGGUGAGGUAAAGGCUCACCAAGGCGACGAUCAGUAGCUGGUCUGAGAGGAUGAUCAGCCACAUUGGGACUGAGACACGGCCCAAACUCCUACGGGAGGCAGCAGUGGGGAAUCUUGCGCAAUGGGCGAAAGCCUGACGCAGCCAUGCCGCGUGAAUGAUGAAGGUCUUAGGAUUGUAAAAUCCUUUCACCGGUGAAGAUAAUGACUGUAGCCGGAGAAGAAGCCCCGGCUAACUUCGUGCCAGCCGCCGCUGUAAUAC